rnacentral:rRNA from 1 species
GACGAACAGUGCGAACGUUGUUCGGAUUCACUGGGCUUAAAGGGCGCGUAGGCGGGUCAGCAAGUCCGGGGUGAAAGCUUUCGGCUCAACCGGAAAAGGGCCUUGGAUACUGCUGGUCUGGAGGAAGGUAGGGGCGUGUGGAACUUCCGGUGGAGCGGUGAAAUGCGUAGAUAUCGGAAGGAACGCCGGUGGCGAAAGCGACACGCUGGACCUUUUCUGACGCUGAGGCGCGAAAGCCAGGGGAGCAAACGG